GGAGCGGCCGCCCGGGGUCCUCGUGAUCUUUUGUCCUUGGCGGCGGCGGGUCCUGCCUAGUCUGCGAAGAGGUAUAUUAAGUUUUGAACGAAGCAUUUAAGAAAGCAGUUUUUUCCAUCUCCCAUUUGAUUCUCACCACAGCCCUGCAAGAAAUGUCCUAAUGGUGAGGAAGAGGCAAGCGCCGGCUUGCAAAGGUGGAUCUGCUCCUUGCCGUUCCCACGUCGAUAAUCAAGCUGCUUCAGACUAGCGAGCCGUUGAUGGGCUCACCCACAUCAAAGCCGCACGGCUCGUCACGUUUCCCCGUGUGCAGAGAGCGAUUCUGCCAACCCCAGAGGGAUGUUACCAUGAAAUAUUAAAGGAAUGUUAUCCGAGGUGAAAGCGAGAGGCGUAAAAGGCCCGCAGAAGACACGUGGGAUUUGUUUGGUUUCUUUGAGCCCAGCAUUUCAAAAUUCGGAGCUUAUUAGCGUUUCCCAUUCACCUCUUCCCUUUUAGGUCCUGCCACGGGAUUAAUUUUUUCUUGUGGGUUUGGACCGGAAGCCCAAGGAUUCACAUGCAGUGAAACUGACCUUAGCUCCCCAGAAUGACUGGGAAAGAAAAGAAUACCCUUUAACUGGGAAGCCUGAUUUGUACUGAGAUAAUUCAUGAGAUGUUCCUGUGGCUUUUUCUUUAGUUCAGCCUUCUUCUGCCCUUCAGAUGUCUUAGAGACCAGCUCCCAUAAUGUUUUGGUCAUCUCGGCUGAGAGUUAUGGGAGGUGAAAUCAACACAUUGAAGGAUGUCAAGUUUGGGAUGGCUGUCCCAGAUGAAUGGGUAAAUUCACCUUAGGCUGCCAGAACAGUAUUUGAACAGCAAGGGAUGUGAUCCAUCUGUUUAUUAGAAAUUCUGUGGAGUUAAUGUGAUUCUGAAAAUACAGCAUUUCUUAUAUUUACCACUAUAAUAAAUAAAGGUGGGAAGUCAUUCAA